AUGGGGAUCAGUAUAAACGCCUCCCUCUCAACAAGGUGGAUCAAUAACAGCGUCUCUCUGUCAGACGCAUUCUCCAACUACGGGGACGGUACAACAGUACGCCCCACCGUCCUCCAUUCAACAAUGGUUGCUGGGCGCUUUCAAGGGUUGUCUUUUGGCGCAGGGUUCUUCUGCACCUCCCCCUGUGACGUCUUCAUCUUUUCCGUCUUCAUUAUAACCAGUGUCGGGAUCUAUGGCAAUGACACUGGAUUUCGGAUUAUCCCGUCAGGGCCACAUGUUGUCUGGUCAGCCAACAGGGAUACUCCUGUCAGGGAGAACGCCACCAUUGAGCUUACUAGGCAUGGCGACCUGGUACUCCGUGAUGCCGAUGGGAGGACGCUUUGGUCAAGUGGCACUUCUGGCAAAUCCGUGGAUGGCAUGGAGAUCAUGAAGCACGGCAACCUGGUGAUGUUUGAUCAGAAGAAUGCCAUUGUGUGGCAGUCAUUGGACCAUCCAACUGAUUCAUUGGUCCCUGGGCAAUCACUUAUGGAAGGUAUGAGGCUCACAGCUACAAAAUCGACUAAGAAUCAGUUUUAUAUUACUGUACUCCGAGAUGGAUUAUACGGUUAUGUCAAAUCCACACCACCACAACUUUACUUCUCAUAUCCAUCGGUGAAAAGUAGUAAGACUGUAAGUGAUCCAACAAAUGUUACAUUCCAGAAUGGCGAGCUUAGAAUCAUUUUAGACGCACCAAAAAAACCUUAUCAUGACUCGUCAACACAGAGUACCGUUAUCUACUUCGGUAUUGUUGAUUAUCUCAAGCUGCCAUCAUCCCAGUUCAGCCAGUAUAUGAGAUUAGAGUAUGAUGGGUGCCUAAGGCUGCAUCAAUGGUCUGAUAAUGAAAAUCAGUGGACUACGUCUGAUGUAAUGGAAAUCUCUCGUCAUUGUGAUGAGCAAUUAUCAUGCUUUGGGAAGAGGGAGUACAGGAUCUCGGGUGAUUGUGCUUACCCAACAGUGUGCGGGGACUACGGGAUAUGCACAAAUGGGCAGUGCAGCUGUUCUCAUGAGAGUACUAAUUUGAACUACUUCAAACCUGCUUGA
rnacentral:rRNA from 1 species